rnacentral:rRNA from 1 species
GAUCCCGUCCGCUCUCCCAUAGUCAAGCUUGUAAUCGCUGGGUUAGUAGUUGGAUCGGUGACGACCAGCGAAUACUCGGUGCUGUAUGUG